rnacentral:lncRNA from 1 species
UUGGAAAUAUGCACCAUGGACUUGACCUUGGUGUGAUACCAAAGAUAAGACGGAUAUGUGAGUUGACGGGAAACCUCACUUUAGCUCGGGAGCUAGCUGAAACUAGCUAGCAUCAGCUCUACGGUGAGCUAGAUGAAGUUAGGGACUGACACUGAAGCUCGUCCAGCUCAGCCUUGAGCUAAAUGACAGUGUCACUAGCUGGGGUACUCAGCUGAGCUGGAGUG